GGGAGCGGGUGUGGCCUGGUGGCUGCCACAGUCUUCAAAAUUGCUGUGCGUCGUUAAGAGCGGCGCAGGUGGGUUCGACUCCCAUGCGCUCCCGCCA
rnacentral:tRNA from 1 species